AAAUACUGCCUUUUUCCACCCCACAGCUUAUUUUGUUCAAAGAUAAUUUGAACCAAAUAGGCUGUGGGGGUGUUUUCUAGUGCGCAUUUUGUUUUUUUCCUUUUUGCGGGGUAACGGAGAAGAAUAUCGAACUUUUUUUUUGAUUGGUAAGAUAAGUAAAAUCUUAACAGAAUUGUAUAACAAUUUUUUUUAUAGGACUGCUCAAUUGAUUUUUUAGGGGUUUAUACAUAUGUAUAAACUUCAGCGGUCGGCACGCACACAUUACAUUGCGUUUGUGUGCGUUGACAGAAGUCAAACUAAAACAAAAAGUAUUAUUGUGUUGCUGCCGACCACUGUUACAAACGCGUUGUGCCGGGUCGCAGUUUGACAUGAUCGUUCAUGUUCUAUUACGUGAUCCGGUGUUUCUUGCGAAUCAUGCCCGCUUUAAGUCCGUUUGCGAGACUUUGGUCGUCGCUCGGUUUUUGACCGGAGGGACCAAAAAGCAUAUCCGUGUUUAAGAGGUCAACUAGAACCACGAGCUCAGUAGAAGCUUAUAAUUUGAAUUUGGGAAAUAAAAUUCAAACAAAUGGGCACUUUUUUAAAUUUGUUCAAUGUCUUAUUGAUGCAGAAUAUGAAAAAAGUCGCGAGUUUGCUUUACUCUUUCAAAAUGGUGGUAAUGGAAAUCAGAAACAGAAGAAGAAACUACGUGAUCGCUCAAAAAAAAUAAUGGACGCAAUGGAUCUUUUUGAAAGAGGUGAAAUAGAUAUACAGGGAUUUCUGACAUGCACUGUUUCCUUAGCUGACCGCUUUUCAAAGCAUGACUUCUUUGAAGGGGUGGACAAUGAAAGCAAUUUAACUGGAAUGUCUUCUGAUAUGAAAUCUUCCACAUCGUCACUUUCAUCGAAUGCUUCUCAUUCAAGUCAGUCAUCUGAUAAAUCAUUGGUUCAAAUGAAUCCAUGCAAUGUGUGCCUAUGUAACCCAAAGUCUGUGUUGUUGCGCCCGUGCAAUCACGUAAACAUUUGUGGUACAUGUUGGGAUCAAAUUGUGGC